AGUAUCUUCAGUUGGUCUACCUUGCAUAAAAUCCUGCCAAAUUUAUUCAAAAUGCAGCUCAUUAUAAUUGGCUCGUAAAAGUUUGAUGUAAGAAAUGACAUAUGUUUUCAAAAACUUGGAAUACUUCAGGUCAAAGCUGAUGUGGAGACACAAGGAGACUUUGUCGAGUCUCUAGCAAGUGAGGUCCGAGCAGCGAGAUUCGUAAAUAUUGAUGAUGUUGUUGCCUUUGUACAUUGGCUGGAUGAGGAGUUAGCAUUCUUGGUAAGACCCUGCUAAUUUCGCCAUAUUAGGUGCUGUAUUUAGGCUCCACAUGAUCUACUGCUAACAAGAUCAUUUGACCUUUUUAGGUUGAUGAGCGAGCAGUCCUGAAGCACUUUGAUUGGCCAGAGAGCAAAACUGAUGCAUUAAGAGAGGCAGCCUUUGAGUACCAAGACCUGUUGAAACUAGAGAACAAGGCUACGUCCUUUGCCGAUGAUCCAAAGCUUCCAUGUGAAGAAGCUCUGAAGAAGAUGUACUCGUUGCUUGAAAAGUAAGUAUCUCCCCUAAACUACGAUUAUCCCUCGUUACAUAAUUCUUCAGAGUGAAUCAAGAAAUAUAUUUUUUUGAGUAUGAAACGGCAAUAUUUUGAAAUUUUUGAAAUAUUUGUGCUAAAAAAUAGGUUUACCCUAGCAAUAAGCAGCAUUGUCUCAAUGAACUAACUCGUGCUGUACUUAUGACAGAGUGGAGCAGACUGUCUAUGCCCUUCUCCGUACAAGAGACAUGACCACCUCACGCUACAAGGAGUAUGGAAUACCAGUUGAUUGGCUAUCUGAUUCUGGAAAAGUUGGCAAGGUGUGCAUCUCUAGACUAUAUCUAUUGUCGACUGAUCAGCACUUAUGUUGUCAGCCGUACUUAAAAGAGCAUACAAUUAUUAAUUACUACUUACAAAUAUUUAGUUUCGAGUUAGAACAAGAACAUGCAUAAGGACUUGAAUCAUAAUUUAAUUCCAUAUGUUGGUUGUAGAUCAAAUUGGCAUCUGUUCAGCUGGCAAAGAAGUACAUGGAGAGGGUUGCCUCAGAACUUGAUGCUUUAGAAGGCACUGAGAAAGAGCCAAAUAGGGAGUUCUUGCUUCUCCAGGGUGUCAGAUUCGCUUUCCGAGUUCAUCAGGUAUAGAGCUAUCUAAAGUUAAUCUAUCAACAACAUGAGUAUUUACAGGUAACUUGGAGAUUUUGAACCAACAACUUACUGUUCCCCAUUAUACAGUUUGCUGGAGGCUUUGAUGCGGACAGCAUGAAAGUUUUUGAAGAGCUGAGAAGCAAGAUGACCACACAGACAUCCGGUCCUCCGGCAUCUGAUACAUGAGUGGAAUCAGGACUCUACACUUAAUCUAUUCUAUUUAUUGAGGAGGCAUGAUUAGUUACACUAAAAAAAAGAAGGCAUGAUUAGUUGGCUAGCUAAAAUGUACAAAAGAGGAACUGUAAAUUCCAGUGUUGUCUCAACCAAGUUGUAUAUGUCAGGAAGGGAAUACAAGUCCACAGGUUCUGAUUAUAUGUAUACUGGUUUUUGUCUUUGUCUAUUCGGUUACUUUGUAAUCGGGCAGUUUGUCAAAACUUAACCACAGCAUGAGUGACAGAGUGAGAUACCUAGCUUUCUUGCUGCUGCCUGCUACUUGUAAGUUUAGUGCUAACUAAAACUUAUGUUACAGUGCAA
rnacentral:lncRNA from 1 species